rnacentral:rRNA from 1 species
AGUGAACGCUGGCGGUAGGCCUAACACAUGCAAGUCGAACGGCAGCACAGUAAGAGCUUGCUCUUACGGGUGGCGAGUGGAGGACGGGUGAGGAAUACAUCGGAAUCUACUUUUUCGUGGGGGAUAACGUAGGGAAACUUACGCUAAUACCGCAUACGACCUACGGGUGGAAGCAGGGGAUCUUCGGACCUUGCGCGAUUGAAUGAGCCGAUGUCGGAUUAGCUAGUUGGCGGGGUAAAGGCCCACCAAGGCGACGAUCCGUAGCUGGUCUGAGAGGAUGAUCAGCCACACUGGAACUGAGACACGGUCCAGACUCCUACGGGAGGCAGCAGUGGGGAAUAUUGGACAAUGGGCGCAAGCCUGAUCCAGCCAUACCGCGUGGGUGAAGAAGGCCUUCGGGUUGUAAAGCCCUUUUGUUGGGAAAGAAAAGCAGCAGGUUAAUACCCCGCUGUUCUGACGGUACCCAAAGAAUAAGCACCGGCUAACUUCGUA